CGAACUCUAGUAGUUGUUUUUUUAGAUAAAAAGAUAGCAACAAGCAGUUAAUACUUUUGGAGUUAAGAAAAGAAAAGAAAACAAAAGUUUUGUGAAGGCAAGAGGGGCGGCUGAAAACAGCUUCCAGAGGUAAAGAGGCCGUUCUAAAACUUUUUCCAAAUGGACUCCCAAUGCUAGUAUUUAUAGGAUGAACUUAAGGUUUUCUAGGGUUCCAAGAUUUUAGGUGGGAUUUCUUGGUCAAAACUCCAUUUGAAAUUUAAACUUCGAAUUUUUAUGGAUAUGCCAGUCCAGAUCAGAAAAAGAAAGAACCAGACGAAAUCAAUUAAAGCUUUGUACUAUAGAAAAUGAAAAGAAAAUGAUAAAAGAAAUCGAAUUUGAA